AAGAAAGUAAGAAAGGGCGUAUGGCGGAUGCCUAGGCUCACGGAGGCGAUGAAGGACGUGAUAAGCUGCGAUAAGCUUCGGGUAGGUGCAAAUAACCCUUGAUCCGAAGAUUUCCGAAUGGGACAACCUAGCCGUCUGAAGGACGGUUACUCAAUCUUCAAGAUUGAGAGCUAACGCAGGGAACUGAAACAUCUUAGUACCCGGAGGAAGAGAAAGAAAAUUCGAUUCCCUUAGUAGCGGCGAGCGAAACGGGAAGAGCCCAAACCAACAAGCUUGCUUGUUGGGGUUGUAGGACACUCUAUACGGAGUUACAUAAUGCUGCUGCCACUAUUAAUGGUGUGAAUGGGUCAAAUGAAAUACCUUGAACCACUUGUGCAUUAAACAUAAUUUCGCCAACUCCAAUUGUUGACACAAUAGAUGAUUCUUU
rnacentral:rRNA from 1 species